rnacentral:rRNA from 1 species
AUUAAGUUAAUAAGGGCGUACAGCGGAUGCCUUGGCAUUAGAAGACGAAGAAGGACGCGAUUACCUGCGAAAAGCGACGGGGAGCUGGAUAUGAGCUUUGAUCCGUUGAUAUCCGAAUGGGGAAACCCGGUGCGAGUUACGUCGCAUCAUCCUAGUAGAAACCAAUAACUAUUAGAGAAGUGAUACCUAGGGAAGUGAAACAUCUCAGUACCUAGAGGAAAAGAAAGAAAAUCGAUUCCGUCAGUAGCGGCGAGCGAAAGCGGAGGAGCCCAAACCAAUCUUAGGAUUGGGGUUACGGACCACAACGUGGGAUUUAUAUUUGAUAGCUGAAUGAUUUGGGAAAAUCAGCGAAACAGGGUGAGAGCCCCGUAAGCGAAAUCAAGUGUAACCCUAGUGAGUUCCAGAGUACGGCGGAGCACGUGGAAUUCUGCCGGAAGUUACCGAGACCACUCGGAAAGGCUAAAUACUAACUAAUGACCGAUAGUGAACCAGUACCGUGAGGGAAAGGUGAAAAGAACCCCGGGAGGGGAGUGAAAAGAUUCUGAAACUGUAUGCUUACAAAAAGUCAGAGCCCGUUAAUGGGUGAUGACGUGCCUAUUGAAGAAUGAACCGGCGAGUUAUGAUUGCAUGCGAGGUUAAGUAGUAGAUACGGAGCCGUAGUGAAAGCGAGCCUUAAUAGGGCGAUUAGUAUGCAGUUGUAGACCCGAAGCCCGACGAUCUAUCCAUGUCCAGGUUGAAGGUGGGGUAAAACCCACUGGAGGACCGAACCAACGUUCGUUGAAACGCCCGUGGAUGAGGUGUGGAUAGCGGAGAAAUUCCAAUCGAGUCGGGGGAUAGCUGGUUCUCCCCGAAAUAGCUUUAGGGCUAGCGUGAGGUUAAUUAUUUAUUGGAGGUAGAGCACUAAAAUGCUGAUGGCGGCACAAGCCGUACUGAUUCAUAUUAAACUCCGAAUGCCAAUAAAUGUAUCCUUGCAGUCAGAGCGUGGGGGAUAAGCUCCAUGCUCAAAAGGGAAACAGCCCAGACCGUCGAAUAAGGUCCCUAAAUUAAUGCUAAGUGUUAAACGAUGUAGAGAUGCGUAGACAGCUAGGAUGUUAGCUCAGAAGCAGCUAUCAUUCAAAGAGUGCGUAACAGCUCACUAGUCGAGUGCCUCCGCGCGGAAGAUUUACCGGGGCUAAGCAUUAUACCGAAUUCACGGAUUUUAGAUCAUAUCUAAAGUGGUAGGGGAGCGUUCCAUGUGGGGUGAAGUCGUACCGAAAGGAGCGGUGGACUGCAUGGAAGUGAGAAUGCCGGUGUGAGUAACGAAGAUGGGUGAGAAUCCCAUCCACCAAUUGACCAAGGUUUCCUGGGGAAGGUUCGUCCGCCCAGGGUUAGUCGGGGCCUAAGACGAGGCCGAAAGGCGUAGUCGAUGGACAUCAGGUUGAUAUUCCUGAACCCGCAUAUAUGUGAUGUAGGGACAGAGACGGUUAGUCAUACCGGUUAUUGGAUUCCGGACCAAGCGAGGUACCUGGUGUGUAGGCAAAUCCGCACACUAUAAGGGGAAGGCGUGAUGGGGACUGAAUGGCUUCGGCCUAGUAGGGAAGUUGAUGAUACCAGCUCUCAAGAAAAGCUACUAACUUAAGUAUAUGUGGCCCGUACCGAGAACGGACACACGUGGUCAAGAUGAGUAUUCUAAGGUGAGCGAGAUAACUGUUGUUAAGGAACUCUGCAAAAUAACUUCGUAAGUUCGCAAGAAGAAGUGCUCCAGCAAUGGAGACGCAGUGAAGAGGCCCGGGUAACUGUUUACCAAAAACAUAGCUCUAUGCCAAGCCGUAAGGCGAUGUAUAUGGGGUGAUGCCUGCCCAGUGCUGGAAGGUUAAAAGGAGGGGUGCAAGCUCUGAAUUGAAGCCCCAGUGAACGGCGGCCGUAACUAUAACGGUCCUAAGGUAGCGAAAUUCCUUGUCAGGUAAGUUCUGACCCGCACGAAUGGUAUAAUAAUCUGGGCGCUGUCUCGACAGCAGACUCGGUGAAAUCUUAAUACCUGUGAAGAUGCAGGUUACCCGCGACUAGACGGAAAGACCCCAUGGAGCUUUACUGUAACUUAAUAUUGAGCAUUUGUACUUCAUGCACAGGAUAGGUAGGAGGCUGUGAAGUGAGGACUUUGGUUCUCAUGGAGCCAUCGUUGGGAUACUACUCUUGAAAUAUAGAUGUUCUAACUCGAACCUCACAGGCUUUGAGGACAGUGUUAGGUGGGCAGUUUGACUGGGGCGGUCGCCUCCCAAAAUGUAACGGAGGCGUCCAAAGGUACCCUCAGCAUGGUUGGAAAUCAUGCAUUGAGUGCAAAGGUAUAAGGGUGCUUGACUGCGAGACCAACAAGUCGAGCAGGGACGAAAGUCGGGCUUAGUGAUCCGGCGGUUCUUUGUGGAAAGGCCGUCGCUCAACGGAUAAAAGCUACCCUGGGGAUAACAGGCUUAUCUGAUCCAAGAGUUCACAUCGACGAUCAGGUUUGGCACCUCGAUGUCGGCUCAUCACAUCCUGGAGGGGAAGUACCUUCCAAGGGUUUGGCUGUUCGCCAAUUAAAGUGGUACGCGAGCUGGGUUCAAAACGUCGUGAGACAGUUUGGUCCCUAUCUGUCGUGGGCGCAGGAAGUUUGAUAGGAGUUGUCCCUAGUACGAGAGGACCGGGAUGAACAUAGCAAUGGUAUAUCGGUUGUCACGCCAGUGGCAUGGCCGGGUAGCUACCUAUGGAAUUGAUAAACGCUGAAAGCAUCUAAGCGUGAAGCGAACCUAAAGAUGAGACUUCCCAUUCGAAAGAAGUAAGACCCCCUGAAUGUUACAGGGUUGAUAGGUUAGAAGUGUAAGCAUAGCGAUAUGUUCAGCUGACUAAUACUAAUAGGUCGAGGACUUAAUUUC